GUAAAAGUGCCUUUUUUUUCUCUUAUUAACUGAAUUGGCGGCGGGGUAGCAAUCUGAAAGUGAACAUGAGCAUAAAGCAGAAAGAGACAAACAUGGGGUCACGACUGCAGGGGAUUUGUUUCCUUGGGCGCGAAGAGCAUUGAGAGCACUUCUGGGAUGAAGGGUAAAAAUACACACCUAUAAUCUCAGGACUCAUAGCCUGAGGCCCAAGGUUUCCAAGUUGAAGGACAGCCUGUGCUACAUAGGAAGUUGUAGCCUGGGCUAGAAAGACUGCUUCUGCCCUCUACUUGGAAUCUAGAACAUAAGAUUUUCAGGUAUAUCCUUAUGAAUUUCUGAACUUUGUUGGUAUGUGAUGUAAUAUGUCUACUGUCGGUGUGCAUUUUUCUUUGCUAGUUUGCUAACAGUUCACCGAUCUGGCUUCUCUCUUCAUUUAUUGUUCGAUGACAUCAUUGUAUUUUUUUCUGUCUCACUGUCGUUCAGUUCUACCCUCUUCUCCCUUCUUCACGUCUGCUGCUGUCUGGUUUGCCAUGUUCUUGUGUUCCCAAGGCAAUGAGGUGGAUCACUGAACAUUGCUUUAAAAACGAAGAGAGAAGAAAAGGAUAGGAAGACAAGAGACUCAGAGUGUAGACUAAAUGUCAUGUCAGCAACACCUAACCGUGUCUCUCCUGGAUACCAUGCAAUAAAUUCCCAGAUAGAA